rnacentral:rRNA from 1 species
UACGAAGGGGGCUAGCGUUGCUCGGAAUCACUGGGCGUAAAGCGCACGUAGGCGGAUUCUUAAGUCAGGGGUGAAAUCCUGGAGCUCAACUCCAGAACUGCCUUUGAUACUGGGAGUCUCGAGUCCGGGAGAGGUGAGUGGAACUGCGAGUGUAGAGGUGGAAUUCGUAGAUAUUAGGAAGAACACCAGUGGCGAAGGCGGCUCACUGGUCCGGUACUGACGCUGAGGUGCGAAAGCGUGGGGAGCAAACAGG